GACAGAGGUGCCAAGCGUUAGGCGGAAUCACUGGGCUUAAAGCGUGUGUAGGCGGAAUGGUAAGUACCUUGUGAAAUCCCACGGCUUACCCGUGGAACGGCUGGGUAUACUGGUUGUCUUGAGCCACUUAGGGGCUACCGGAACAAAUGGUGGAGCGGUGAAAUGCGUAGAUAUCAUUUGGAACGCCAAUGGUGAAAACAGGUAGCUGGGAGUGUGCUGACGCUGAGACACGAAAGCCAGGGGAGCGAACGGG
rnacentral:rRNA from 1 species